CAACACAGUCUCCCACAAUAUUCUCCUAGAGAAGCUGGCAGUUCAUGGCCGAGACGGGUGUACUCUUUGCUUGGUAAAAAACUGGAUGGAUGGCCGAGCCCAGAGAGUUGUGGUGAAUGGAGUUAAAUCCAGGUGGCAGCCGGUC